rnacentral:lncRNA from 1 species
GCUGGAAGUCCUGGUGUGGAAAUCUCGCAUACCCCCGUACCACAGCUACACUAUGAGGUGUGAGUUGGAGGCAUCACAAGACACGAUGGCUAAGAAGAAGCGACCUCACUCAACGGUGUGAUUCAGCUCACCUGCAAAUAAGAAUACAACCUCACUGUUCAAUUCAUCGGUGGCUUUCAUUGUUGGGAUCAAAAGCCAAAUAUGAACGUUAGUCUUUUUUGAAGUAGUCUUUUUUCCGUAACUUCCUAUCAAAUAGCAUGCACACUGUUAUUCCUACUUAUGCAGAUCAAUAUACGUGUAAUCUUGCAUUUUGCUGGCUGUAGUCUGUACGCAGCAUUUUAUAACAUACAGUAGGUCACAAGACGCUCAUAAAAAAAAAUAUAUUCAGCGGUCACCCAUGUGCUGUUCUACAAGGAACCGUUUAUUCUACACCAGUAGUUAUAUAGUGUGCUGAGAAUUGCUGAACAAAAUUUCAGUAAUAAAAUAACUACUGAUCGCGAAUUCGUGAUAGUUCGCGUCAGUCUGAUCAGUAACACAAUGGUGUAGUAUAAUAUUCCACAUCUAUAUUCGAUGCUCUUUUUUUUAAUAAACUCAGCAAACAGAGCUGAACGAGGAAUAAAACAACAGAAGACAUGCUCAGUGGCGUAGUACAACUGCAUACUGCAGAUCAUUGUAGUCGAGAGACUAGAGAGUCUUCACAACUCAAUUCCCCACGCCUCUCUUUGCUUGACAAAAUUGCUUUGAACGUGUCACGACAUGCAGAUCAGAACUGUAAAUACCAUAUGAUGUCUAAUUCUGAUUUCGUACAAAACCAGAAAUUCAGAACCGCCGUCUCCAGAAAAGGAUUGUGCAUUUCCUUCUUUUUUACUCACUUAGUCCGAAUCUGUACGAAGUCAAAGACUGCAUAUCACGUGCCUUCAUAUUUUGAAAGUUGACUACUGCUGAUGUAAAGUACAUCGGAUGCAAGUGCAAAAAUCUUCUCACCUUCCAAUGGUCCUUGGUCUAAUUGUCUAUUCAGCAGCUGGAAGAAACAGGCACUGGACGGUCAAUAAUGGAGAGUACCAUCGUGGAAAUGCUUGCGUCUUCAUAGCCGCCGUGCAAAUGCAACGCGUUAACAACGAAGGGAACUUCUCGUGAGCUGUUCUUGUAAGUAAGCUGCCUGCCAAUCUCAGCUUAUAUGGUUGAACUGGUCAUUUAACCAUAUAAGCUGAGAUCGUCUGAACAACCCAUCAUCCCAUCACAAAGGUUCACAAUGGAAACGUUUGUUUCAGCAGUUCUCGGCGAUCUCCUCAGUCGAACGGUAUCCUUCAUCAUUGACAGAUGCUACAGGCAACAUAUGGGUGUGGAGGAGUACUUGCCAUGGCUGCGCCGUGUCCUGCUGCGAAUCCAGGCCACUGUGGAGGAUGCCGACGGGCGGCAUAUCACAAACGAAGCUAUGCUCCGGCAGCUCCAGAUGCUGAGAGAAGCGAUGUACAAAGGCUUCUACCUGCUUGAUGCUUUCACGUAUCGGAUGCUUCAGCAACAGAGGGACAACGACGAUCAGGUUGGUGAUCACCCCUUGUCCAUAUUUUGUCCAGUCAAGCGCUUGUGCUUCUCUGCCAGGAGGAUGAACAUGGUAUUUCAAGGUGAUGGGGUAAAGGAGGUUCAGGAGACGCUAGGAAACCUGCAUAACAUCAUCCACGAUAUGGCAGAGUUCACCGUCUUCUUGAAAUGCUAUCCUCACAUCAGCCGUGAGCCUUACAACAAGUACUUGUUUCUGGAGAAGUGCAUGUUUGGCCGCCAAGCAGAGAUGGACAAGAUCAUGGGAUUCUUGUUAAAGCCAGAGCCUCCAGGAGCUCAGGGUUUGCAAGUGCUUCCUAUAAUUGGUCAGCCAAGAGUUGGGAAAAGCACUCUCGUUGAGCAUGUCUGUUACGAUGAGAGGGUGCACAAUCACUUCUCUUCGAUAAUUCUAUACAGUGGUGAUCCUACUGCUGCUCCAGAAGGUAGUGGUGUAGUGAAGAAGCAAACUGAUGGAUCAAAUGGAAGGUCACUUGUUGUCAUGGAGCUUCCUGAUGGUUUGGCUAUAGAGGAGAGGCAAUUCAGAAAGUUAUAUUCUUCAAGAAGCCACAUGCCACCUGGAAGUAAAGUAAUUAUCACAAGCAGAUCAGAGAAUAUCAUGAAACUUGGAACUACUGGAGCUAUUACACUGAAUUUUCUGUCUCAAGAAGCUUACUGGUACUUCUUCAAGGUGAUGGCUUUUGGAAGCACAGAUCCUGAUGAGCACCCAGAGUUAGCAUCGAUAGCAAUGGACAUUGCAGCAGGGCUAGAAGGAUCUUUCUUGGCCGCAAAUGUCAUCUGUGGCUUUCUGAGAGCUAAUAUGCACAAUAGAUUUUGGCGCAAGAUCCUCGAAUUGGAGAGAAACUGUUUAGAGAAGAACAUCCUCCUUUUUGGCAAACGUCCACAGACUCUUCUUCGGAAAAACCAAAUUGCAUAUGUUUGGAGCCUGUCCAACACUUCCUCCAUUUGGGUCAAAGUUCUUUUAUAUGAAACACAUUCUCCUGCAAAUGAAGUUCCAAAGACAAUGUUGCAUGACGUCCAAAUCCAAACUAUAAGUGCAAAAGCAUACAGGAAGCUGGAUGUCCUGGUGUGGAGAUCUCGCAUACCCCCAUACCAUAACUACACUAUGAGGUGUGAGAUAGAGGCAGCACAAGAGAUGAUGUCCAAGAAGAAGCGGCCUCACUCCAUGGUGUAAUUCAGGUCAUCUGCAAAUGAGCACACAACCUCAGUUUGUUGCUAUUCACUUCAUUGGCAGGUUUUAUUAUUGCAAUCAAAUUUGAAUGGUGAUAUGCAUAAUAGGAUCUAUCUGUUUCUUGCAAUGAGCUCUUUUUUCUUAUUUUAUAUCAAAUAGGUUACGCACUCUGCUAAUCCUUUGCAGUUUGUAGUUCAGUUUAUGUGCAUUUGUCCUCUGUACGCAGCAGUUUGUAACCUGGGCGACAAGACUCUCAUAGGAAACUACAACUCAUGAGAAAAUACAAUCAUAUUCAGUGACUUAUGUGCAGUGCAGAAAUGCAUGAUCUGACCUCGGAAUAUACAGAGACUAUGAUGGCUUGUUUCGUUUCGUUUAACUUCCUGUGAAAUUCCUGCUUUCCAAAUGCAGCAUUAGUUUGGCCCAGUAGAAAACAUAUAGUAAUCACAGAGAAACUCGCAGGAAUCUACCCAGCCCUCGUGUAAGAAUUAGUCAACAAUUGGAGGCAACAAAGGACUGGUCCAUUAAUACAUCAUGGUGGAAAAUGUUGCGUCUAGAUAAUGUGUGAACAUGACGACUCCUUGCAGCUUAUCUUACAGCAUUUAGGUAGCUCGCCUGGCAGUUAGAGGCCAGAGAUGAACUGAAAACAGGAACUCAAAUCAAACAUCGUAAUGGAAACGUUCAUUUCUGCAAUCCUUGGUGAUCUUUUCAGCAGAUCAGUAUCUUUUGUCCUCAACAAUUACCAUCUACGGCGGCAGAAGGGCGUCAAGGACAACCUGCAAGAGCUGCGCUGCGUGUUGCUGCGCAUCCAGGCCACCGCGGAGGAGGCUGAGGGGCGGCACAUCACCAACCAGGCCAUGCUCCAUCAGCUCCAGAUGCUGAGAGAAGCCAUGAACAAAGGCUGCUACCUGCUUGAUAAUUUCACAUACCGGAUGCUGCAGCAGGAGAGUUCCAAUGUUCAGGUUAGCGACCACCCCUUUCCCCUGUCCAAAUUCAAUCCAGCAAAGGGCCUGCGCUUCUCUACCAGGAGGAUGAUCGUUGCAUUUCAAGGUGAUGGGGCGAAGGAGGUUCAGAAGAUGCUAGGAAGCUUGCAUAGCAUAAUCAGCGAUAUGGCAGAGUUCAUCAUCUUCUUGAAAUCAUAUCCUCCCAUAAGCCGCGAGCCUUAUAGCAAGCACUUGUUUCUGGAGAACUGCAUGUUUGGCCGCCAGACAGAGCUGGAGAAGAUCAUCAGUUUCUUGUUGCAGCCAGAGCCUCCAGGCACAGAAAGAUUGCAAGUGUUACCCAUAACUGGUCCACCGAGAGUUGGUAAAAGCACCCUUGUUGAACAUGUAUGUUAUGAUGAGAGGGUGCGCAAUCACUUUUCCACAAUUAUUCUAUGUAGAGAUCCUACUGCUCCAGAAGGCAGUGGUGUGGUCAAGAAGCAAAGUCAUAGUUUACAUGGAAGAUCACUAAUUGUCAUGGAGCUUGCUGAUGAUUUGGUUGUAGAUGAAAGGCAAUGCAGAAACUUCUACUCUUCAAGAAACCACAUGUCACCUGGAAGUAAAGUUAUUGUGACAAGCAGAUCAGAGAAUAUAAUGAAACUUGGUACUACAGCAGCUCUUAAGUUGGAUUUUUUAUCUCAGGAAGCUUACUGGUACUUCUUCAAAGUGAUGGCUUUUGGAAGCACAAAUCCUGAUGACCACCCAGCGCUAGCAUCAAUAGCUAUGGAAAUUGCAGCAGGGCUUCAAGGAGGUUUCUUGGGUGCACAUGCCAUCUGCGGCUUUCUAAGAGCUAAUAUCCACAAUUGGUUUUGGAACAUGAUCCUUGAAUGUCAGAGAAACAAUAUAGAGAGGAAUAUCCUCAUCUUUGGUGAACAUCCACAGUCUCUUCUUUGGAAGAGCCAGAUUGCAUAUGUUUGGACUCUGUCCAACAUUUCCGUGAGGGUCAAAGUUCUUCAUUUUCAAACACGUUCCCCUCUGAAUGAUGUCCGAAAAUAAUGUUGCAUGAAGUCCACACAAGUGCAAAAGCUCAUGGGAAGCUGGACGUCCUGGUGUGGGAAAUCGGGGCAUACCCCCAUAUCACAGCUACAUUAUGAAGUGUGAGAUUGAGGCACCAGAAGACAUGAUGGUCAAGAAGAAGCGCCCUCCUUCUUAUCUGCAAAUAUGAACAUUUCCUUGAUGUUGAAUUCAUUGGCUGUUUUCAUCGUUGAGAUCAAAUAUCAAAUGUGAAGGGUGACGUUCAAAUACACCACUAGUGAACAAAUCUAUCUGUUUCUUACAGUGAUCUCUUCUCCAUAUUUUUUCUAUAAAUUAAAGUGCAAGCUCUGCUCUUGUAAAUGCUUUGUUGUUGAGUUGUUGUAAAAUGCAAGCUCUGACAUUCCUUUGUAGUUAGUACAUAUCAUUCAGCCUGUGUGCAGACAUACUUUAUAUUUCCUGUACCCAGUAGUUUGUAAUCAGGGUGACAAGACUCUGACUGGUGGAGAAUAUCAUUAUAUUCACACAUAUUUAAAAAACUCGAACCUGAACCUGCUGUAUGCUAUUCAUGUGCUCUAACCAUUGGACUAGAUAUCUUUUUGCCGCUCCUUAUUUUGUGGACGGAGGUAGUAGAAAUGUACGAUAUGAUCUCAAAAUAUAUAUAAAAAAGGCAUUGUGGGAUUGUUUAUAUUCACUAAGGUCUGUAUUACUGCCUGCAGAAUUUCUGCUUUCCAAACAUGGCCUUCAUUUGGCCCACUAGAAACUAUAUAAUGUUCUAUCUUCCCUGCUCACAUUGUCAUAACUCAGAGCAAAUCGCCCCUAAGCUACAACACUCGUUCCUCCAUUCAUCAUUUUAUUCAUUAACGCCUAUCAAAUUUUUAAAUUUACUCUAGAAUUCUGGAUCUUUAAUUGGACAAUGGAAAAAGGGAAAAACUGUUUUAUUUAAUAUAUGCAUAAAAAAUCACAAUAAAAAAGAUAGGUGGAAUGCACCUGCGGUAGUCACUCUGGUUAUUUACAUUUUGUUCACCCUCUAUUUAACAAAACAACAUACUGUUCACCAGGGGAAUCAUAUCUAAAUUCUAAUGGUCCAAUCCAUGUGCACACCACUUGCCACAUCUCAAGUAAAAUUGCGACUAAGCUAUAGCACUCUGCAUUCGUUGGUUUAUUUAUUUAUGGUUUGUAUCUGGUAGAAAAUAUUAUAACAUCCCAAAGGUAAAGGUAUGAAACUGGAUUAGCUUAUCUGCACAUCCAAUAAACUCUAGAAUUUGGAUAUGUAAUUCAACAAUGGGAAAUAAGAACACUAUUUCCUUUAAUCUUUGUAAAAAGAAAAUUCAAUAAGAAUGACCAACCAAGCACAAAACCGGAGAAUCGUAAUCUUCUGUACCGUACCAGCAGUUUUCCAUAACAAUUCCCAUUUUCCUUUAAGACUUUUUUGGUUAUGUACUUUGCAUGACAUUAGACCAAAGAACCAUCUUUUCUAGACCGAACACUGAAUCUGUCUAACUAUCUACAGCUUGCUGUUGUCUAGUCAAUUUUGAGAAAGCCCAUUGCUUCGUCCCAACCUUCAAAGUCUCAACGACAACACUACAGGUCUACAGCAGAUGGCUGCUACGCUCAGUCACAACUCACAACGCGUUCAACCUAAUCAGCAUAUGCGUUCGACCAGAAUUAAUCGAAACCUGCAACAUUUGGGCCGCAACACUGAAUCUAACUAUCUACAUCGAAGCACUGAGAUACAACAUGCUCAAAGAAGGAUGGGAUUAACAGCUUACCAUGGCAUCGGCGGCAGAGGGCAGGCGUGCCGUGGGAGGGCGCGCGCGCAGCGGUCAGGAUCUCUGCGUGCUGCGGCAUCCACUGAUGCCGUCGCCCUCGUGGGCAUCCGCGGGACAUGACGGAUCGGGAAUAGGUUGGGAGCUUGACUGGGAAGCAGACAACGAGUCAGAAAAUCAGGGCAACCGUCGCGGGAGACAUGGGCCUUCGAUGGGCCGAU